AUGUGCUUGCUUCAGCCACAUAUAAACUAAAACUGGAGCAAUACAGAGAAGAUCAGCAUGGCCCUUGUGCAGGGAAUUACAUGCAAAUUCAUGAAGCAUUCCAUACUUUU